GCUUACGGCCAUACCAACUUAGGCACGCCCGAUCUCGUCUGAUCUCGGAAGCUAAGCGAGGGGUCCGGGCCGUUGGGU
rnacentral:rRNA from 10 species